UAUCAACUAAAGUGAAACCACCACCUCCCUCCAGAGACAUCUUCCUAUACCAACUGUGUCAUCCUACUACAGCUCCUCCAUGAAGUGUGGGCAGGGCAUGUCUUACGCCAAUCAUGGAACAAUAUUUUGGUUUUAGUCAACGGAGCAGAAACUCUGUUUUGAAAACCCCAGAAGAUCCAGCCCCAAGGAACUCAUAUGUGUCUCUGAUUGGAAUCCUACCACCAUUCCCUAACUCUGUGAUCUUGGGCGAUUCACUUCACCACUCUGAGUCCCAGUUCAAUCUGUAAAACAGCACCAAUCUGUUAAAUAAUAAAGCAACACUAAUCUGUG